GACGAACGCUGGCGGCGCGCCUAACACAUGCAAGUCGAACGGAGCUGCGAGAAGCUUGCUUUUCUUAGCUUAGUGGCGAACGGGUGAGUAACGCGUGAGUAACCUGCCCUGGAGUGGGGGACAACAGUUGGAAACGACUGCUAAUACCGCAUAAGCCCACGAUCCGGCAUCGGAUUGAGGGAAAAGGAUUUAUUCGCUUCAGGAUGGACUCGCGUCCAAUUAGCUAGUUGGUGAGGUAACGGCCCACCAAGGCGACGAUUGGUAGCCGGGCUGAGAGGUUGAACGGCCACAGUGGGACUGAGACACGGCCCAGACUCCUACGGGAGGCAGCAGUGGGGGAUAUUGCACAAUGGGGGAAACCCUGAUGCAGCGACGCCGCGUGGAGGAAGAAGGUUUUCGGAUUGUAAACUCCUGUCGUUAGGGACGAUAAUGACGGUACCUAACAAGAAAGCACCGGCUAACUACGUG
rnacentral:rRNA from 1 species